rnacentral:rRNA from 1 species
AUUGAUCCUUCGGGUGAAGUGAGGCACUCCCAUAAGGGGCGAACUGGUGAGUAACACGUAAGAAACCUGCCCCUUAGAGGGGGAUAACAUUUGGAAACAGAUGCUAAUACCGCGUAACAACAAAUCACACAUGUGAUCUGUUUGAAAGGUCCUUUUGGAUCGCUAGAGGAUGGUCUUGCGGCGUAUUAGCUUGUUGGUAGGGUAGAAGCCUACCAAGGCAAUGAUGCGUAGCCGAGUUGAGAGACUGGCCGGCCACAUUGGGACUGAGACACUGCCCAAACUCAUACGGGAGGCUGCAGUAGGGAAUUUUCCGCAAUGCACGAAAGUGUGACGGAGCGACGCCGCGUGUGUGAUGAAGGCUUUCGGGUCGUAAAGCACUGUUGUAAGGGAAGAAUAACUGAAUUCAGAGAAAGUUUUCAGCUUGACGGUACCUUACCAGAAAGGGAUGGCUAAAUACGUGCCAGCAGCCGCGGUAAUACGUAUGUCCCGAGCGUUAUCCGGAUUUAUUGGGCGUAAAGCGAGCGCAGACGGUUUAUUAAGUCUGAUGUGAAAUCCCGAGGCCCAACCUCGGAACUGCAUUGGAAACUGAUUUACUUGAGUGCGAUAGAGGCAAGUGGAACUCCAUGUGUAGCGGUGAAAUGCGUAGAUAUGUGGAAGAACACCAGUGGCGAAAGCGGCUUGCUAGAUCGUAACUGACGUUGAGGCUCGAAAGUAUGGGUAGCAAACGGGAUUAGAUACCCCGGUAGUCCAUACCGUAAACGAAGGGUGCUAGUUGUUAAGAGGUUUCCGCCUCCUAGGGACGUAGCAAACGCAUUUAAGCACCCCGCCUGAAGAGUACGGCCCCAAGGUUAAAACUUUAAAGGAAUUUGACGGGGGACCCCGCAUAAGCGGUUGAACCAUGUUGUUUUAAUUCCAAAGAUACCCGAAAAACCUUUACCCAGGCCUUGACAUACCAAAUGAACCGCUUUUUGUAAAUGAAAAGCCUUUCUUCGGAAAAAUU